GCAAAACUUUCCUUUUAUUAAAAUUAAGACUAUAAAAAGAUAAAUCUAAGAUAAAAAAGAAAGAAAGAUAACUGUUAGAAAUUAUAAAUCAAAAAAUAAGUGUAAGGAAACUAAACA
rnacentral:sRNA from 1 species